CCUACGGGGGGCAGCAGUAGGGAAUCUUCCACAAUGGACGAAAGUCUGAUGGAGCAACGCCGCGUGAGUGAAGAAGGGUUUCGGCUCGUAAAGCUCUGUUGGUAGUGAAGAAAGAUAGAGGGAGUAACUGGCCUUUAUUUGACGGUAAUUACUUAGAAAGUCACGGCUAACUACGUGCCAGCAGCCGCGGUAAUACGUAGGUGGCAAGCGUUGUCCGGAUUUAUUGGGCGUAAAGCGAGUGCAGGCGGGUCCAUAAAGUUGAUGUGAAAGCCCUCGGGUCAAACGGGGAAAU
rnacentral:rRNA from 1 species